UACGUAGGGGGCGAGCGUUGUCCGGAAUCAUUGGGCGUAAAGAGCGUGUAGGCGGCUUGGCAAGUCUGACGUGAAAGCCCGCGGCUCAACCGCGGAUUGUCGUUGGAAACUGCCUCGCUAGAGUCCGGAAGAGGAGAGCGGAAUUCCUGGUGUAGCGGUGGAAUGCGCAGAUAUCAGGAAGAACACCCGUCGGCGAAGGCGG
rnacentral:rRNA from 1 species